rnacentral:rRNA from 1 species
AAAUUGAAGAGUUUGAUCAUGGCUCAGAUUGAACGCUGGCGGCAGGCCUAACACAUGCAAGUCGAGCGGCAGCGGGAAAGUAGCUUGCUACUUUUGCCGGCGAGCGGCGGACGGGUGAGUAAUGCCUGGGGAUCUGCCCAGUCGAGGGGGAUAACAGUUGGAAACGACUGCUAAUACCGCAUACGCCCUACGGGGGAAAGGAGGGGACCUUCGGGCCUUUCGCGAUUGGAUGAACCCAGGUGGGAUUAGCUAGUUGGUGGGGUAAUGGCUCACCAAGGCGACGAUCCCUAGCUGGUCUGAGAGGAUGAUCAGCCACACUGGAACUGAGACACGGUCCAGACUCCUACGGGAGGCAGCAGUGGGGAAUAUUGCACAAUGGGGGAAACCCUGAUGCAGCCAUGCCGCGUGUGUGAAGAAGGCCUUCGGGGUUGUAAAGCAC